CAAAAAAAAACAAAGAAACAACAAAAUUCUUUCUUUUCCCCAUAUUAUUAGGUCUGAAGAACUAUUGUCUUAUAAUAGGUUGAAGAAUGACGACUUUUCUCUCCAUUUUGAAAGACGAUAUUUUCAUAGAUUUCACCAUGAUUUUUUCAGUUUCAUUGUUGUUUUUAGAUGACACACUAAAAUCCUUUAUAUAUUUCUCAUUGUUGGCCUCUAGAAUAUGGAAAUCCCUCAAGAACAGAACAAAAAUCCUUCAAGAACAGAACAAAAUACUUCAGUUCAGAAGAUUCUGAGCUUCAUUAGAUUGAAAGGAUUUUGAUGUAAUAGGAUUUAUCAGAUCUAGCAGCUGCUCUACAUAUAUUUUAAAGUUCCGACUACAAGUUGAGUUUUAAAUGCUGCCUUAUCUUUCAUUUCUCACGUCACCGCCUUUGGAAGAUAUGGUGCGUGGGUUAUCGUAGAGGACGUCAGGAAUGAAGUGUCCAUCGAGAAAUGGGUCACCCAUAGUUUGCUUCAGAGUAAGAAGAUGUGGCUUCGUUGGUUCUGGUUCAGGUGAAAUGUGGGCAGGCAGUGAAAUCCUGAGGAUAGUGAAUCGUUUGAGACGACCAAAAUUUCAUUUACUUGUGCACGAAAUUCCCCUAUGAACUCUCUAUUAGUUCUAGGAAGCACUGUUUUAGCUUUGUGCUACAUUUUUCCAUAUGGUGAGGAUAAUAAUAAAGAUGUAUAUCUUCUAGCAAGCAGUGGUGUAUACAGGGAUGUUCGUCCCUGUCGCUACAAAUACAACAUGUUCUAUGGAAAAUGCUACUGCUAUUUCUACUCCAGCUUCUUCUGGUACUUCCCCGCGUUCAACAAUAGCUGGUUUACAGGUGGUCUCUAGAUAAAUAGUGGGAUGUCGUUGGGCGGAACAAUGAUUUUGAGUGCAUGCAGAUAGUUGAACCUACUAUUAAACAUUAUACAGAAGCAUUAUCGAGAUGAAGAUCUUGGUUUUGGGUCUUGGCAAGCAAAAGAGAUGUUAGAUCAUCUUGAGAGUGUUCUUGAAAAUGAGCAUGUUGAUGUGAAGAGUGGUAGUUCAUUAUUGAAUUUAUGCCUCAGGUGUGCUAUAUCUUAAGCUUUGCAUUUGACGCUGACUUACUUGCUCCUUCUAUUUUGAUCAACGAAUGAGUCAACUAGGCCUCAUUUCAUGGAAUUCCUUGCUCGUUUAACUUGAUGGGAUAAUGCAAAUAGGUACAAACGUCAAGACCUAAUGAAUAUAUUAAGGGCUAUGUAUGAUUUUGAAAUGUGUCGUGGCGGACCAUACAUAUUCUAUUGUAUUUUCUAGAAAAUUUCAGCAUAUUUUCAAGGAGGCUGCGGUUAUUGCCAAAAUAAAUAAGCGAUACCAAAAUUAGAGAAGGAUGACAAGACAUCUCGUUGCACUUUCUAUACUUUUUGAGGGAAAUGGAGGUGAUCAAAUUUGAAGGGUCGCCACAAGUAAAAUUGAUCUCGUUGAAGUUGAUGUUGGGAGUAUUUGAACUAUUGUAAAAGUUGGAAUAAACUGCUACAAUUUAUAAUUUAUCUUGAUCUUCUUUUCUCUUGUAUAACUAUUGUAUGUAAUCUUAUUUUGUUGUACAUUUUAAAUUUGUAGGGAAAUGGAGGUGAUCAAAUUUGAAGGGUCGCCACAAGUAAAAUUGAUCUCGUUGAAGUUGAUGUUGGGAGUAUUUGAACUAUUGUAAAAGUUGGAAUAAACUGCUACAAUUUAUAAUUUAUCUUGAUCUUCUUUUCUCUUGUAUAACUAUUGUAUGUAAUCUUAUUUUGUUGUACAUUUUAAAUUUGUAGGGAAAUGGAGGUGAUCAAAUUUGAAGGGUCGCCACAAGUAAAAUUGAUCUCGUUGAAGUUGAUGUUGGGAGUAUUUGAACUAUUGUAAAAGUUGGAAUACAUUAUGAUUGAUUUUGUGAAAUAUAUUAAUCACUAGAAUAUAUUGAAUUGUAAUUGUACUUUUUGAACUAUUGUGUACACAUUUAGAAUAUUACUUCAUAAGUUUGUGUAUGUACAAAAGACAUUCUAUCUUUUGAA